rnacentral:rRNA from 1 species
UCGUCAGUGGCGGACGGGUGAGUAACGCGUAGGAAUCUAUCCUUGAAGUGGGGGACAACCGGUGGGAAACUACGGCUAAUACCGCAUGAUGCCUGGAGGGACCAAAGACGAAAGUCGUUUGAGGAGGAGCCUGCGUCUGAUUAGGUAGUUGGUGGGGUAAAGGCCUACCAAGCCUACGAUCAGUAGCUGGUCUGAGAGGAUGAUCAGCCACAUUGGGACUGAGACACGGCCCAAACUCCUACGGGAGGCAGCAGUGGGGAAUAUUGGACAAUGGGCGCAAGCCUGAUCCAGCAAUGCCGCGUGGGUGAAGAAGGUCUUCGGAUUGUAAAGCCCUUUUGGCGGGGACGAUGAUGACGGUACCCGCAGAAUAAGCUCCGGCUAACUUCGUG